UACAGAGGUGGCAAGCGUUGUUCGGAAUUACUGGGCGUAAAGGGCGCGUAGGCGGCUUGGUCAGUCCCGUGUGAAAUCCCUCGGCUCAACUGAGGAACUGCACGGGAAACUGCCUGGCUUGAGUUCGGGAGAGGGAAGCGGAAUUCCGGGUGUAGCGGUGAAAUGCGUAGAUAUCUGGAGGAACACCGGUGGCGAAGGCGGCAUCCUGGACCAAUAUUGACGCUGAGGAGCGAAAGCCAGGGGAGCAAACGGG
rnacentral:rRNA from 1 species